AGCCUGUGAUGUUCAAAUUGUCCGUACCAUCUGAGAUUCAGCUUUUUAACGAUUGCUCUGAUGCAUACACUAAUUAUUUAUUCUGAGGCUUCCUUACUAACUGUUUUCUGUUUUCUUUUUUAAUUUCUUGAAUAUCAAUUCAUUUUUAUAAGUGAAAAGGCAACAAUUUAGAGUCUCUGAUUCACUUAUUCGAUAGUGAAUUCAGUGCUGUACGUUGCCAAUAAAGAUGUGGACCUAAAUUCUGGCAGAAGCCAUAUUCUAAUUAGGCUUUUGCAUUCAGAUGUUCCUAUAUUUUUUUAAGUUAUUUCAAUGGGCUGUGAUGAGUCAGAGAUAGUCAUGCACCACUCUGAGUUUUUAGUGCUGAUAAUUUUCUCAUACCCAUUUUAUCUGAGCCC